rnacentral:lncRNA from 1 species
AUCUGGUUCGAUUCAUGAUCGCAUCUGCAAACCUUAUCCCGUGGGCUUUAGCGGACGUUUUUCAUUCUUCACCCGGUCCUUAGUAGCCUUUCCAAAGUCAACCUAACCGGUUACCUUUUCCAAGGCGCUAAAUAGGCCUUCGCCCUUACGCCUUUAUAUAUAAUAGAAGAAAAUUAGAUAGUUGUAUAUAGAAUUAGCCAGAUCGUCUGAAGCAUGAACAGAAUCGCCUUUGUUCUGAAGGCCUAGCGAGUUCCUUUUUUUUUUUUCAAAGGCGGUCCUUUUCUUUCCUCGGACCGAUGACUCGCUUGUUCAGUACUGCUAACUAUUAUAGGAGGAUGUCGCCCCCUCGGGACUACCAGUAGCUUCGGUUGUUGAAUCUCGUGCAAGUUAGGUUGUGGUUGUAUUGGCUGCAAGCGGAACGUAGGCGCUUUAGGUGUGUGUUGACCAUGCACUCUCGCUUCGUGUAAUGUCGUAUGUAUGAUAGAGGUAGUGUGGUGAUUGACCUCAAUGCUAAUGGUG